rnacentral:rRNA from 1 species
AACAAACGCUGGCGGCGUGCCUAACACAUGCAAGUCGUACGGGGAAGUUGGCUUCGGCCAAUGAGUAGAGUGGCGCACGGGUGAGUAACGCGUCGAUAAUCUGCCCUUCAGCGGGGAAUAACCCAUCGAAAGGUGGGCUAAUACCCCAUAACACUGUUUUACAACUGUCAAACAGUCAAAGAGAGCCUCUGCUUGCAAGCUUUUACUGAAGUUUGAGUCCGCGUACCAUUAGCUAGUUGGUAGGGUAAUGGCCUACCAAGGCGACGAUGGUUAGCUGGUCUGAGAGGAUGAUCAGCCACACUGGAACUGAGACACGGUCCAGACUCCUACGGGAGGCAGCAGUGAGGAAUCUUGCGCAAUGGGGGAAACCCUGACGCAGCAACGCCGCGUGAGUGAGGAAGGUCUUCGGGUCGUAAAGCUCUGUCAGGCGGGAAGAAAUGCAUGGAGGUGAACAGCCGCCAUGCUUGGCGGUACCGCCAGAGGAAGCACCGGCUAACUCCGUGCCAGCAGCCGCGGUAAAAC